rnacentral:rRNA from 1 species
AACGAACGCUGGCGGCGUGGAUAAGACAUGCAAGUCGAGCGGGAACUUUCGCUGUAGCAGUACAGUGAAAGUUCUAGCGGCGAACGGGUGCGUAACACGUGGACAAUCUGCCUUAAAGUGGGGGAUAGCUCGGCGAAAGCCGAAUUAAUACCGCAUGUGAUGAGAGACGACAUCGUCUUGAAAUCAAAGCCGGGGCAACCUGGCGCUUUUUGAGGAGUCCGCGGCCAUCAGCUUGUUGGUGAGGUAACGGCUCACCAAGGCUAUGACGGGUAGCUGGUCUGAGAGGGCGGUCGGCCACACUGACACUGACAUACGGGUCAGACUCCUACGGG